AUAUUAGAUGUAUUACCGCAUUGUGAGAUAAAGCUCCAAGCUUUUUAAUAGAUGUUGAAGAAAUUCUGUUUUGGCUUACUGCUGGCUUCUUUUUAUUAGACUUGUAUGACCAAGAUCGGUCAAAAAGGACAUAAAGAAUAUUUGGAGAAAUAUGAGAAAUACUGAGCGCUUCGAGGAAAGCAUUUCUAUUGUUGCUGCUAAGUCAAACUGAUUCGUGUUUAAAAAUCAACUCUGGUACAAAAUGACAAACUAUUGAAAACGGUAAAAUAACAACCUUUUUCCUAUGAUAUCAAUGAAUGUUCUGUCUGCAUAGAUUCUUGCUCCUGCUGCCUGUUUUCAUUCUGAAUAACGUGUAGUUUUUCUGCAAAGUCCAGCCGGGUGUAAUAAGGGUGUGGGCAAUCAUUGGACAGAGGCAAUCAGGUUAGCACCAGAUAAGAAAAAGUUCACCCUGUGCUGUCUGGUCCACCCAGAUGUCAUCACAGUAUGCUAAUGAGCCGGGGGCCUUUAAGUGCAGGAGCCCAGCAAGCAGAGCAGUUAGGAGCCUGUGAACCAGACACAGACACAUAGCAGCCAUAAAAUAUCAACAUGUGAAGGAAAGUGUCAGCGAGCCACUGCAUGCAAAAAGAUUACAAACACAGCCGGAACUCGCUGCGAAUUAGUUAUGCCUUGUGUCCUGGACAGGAUAUCAUCUUAUACUGUAAGUUUAUUAAAGAGACACUACAGUAUAGAUGAUGUACUAUCCAGGGUUUAAUUCCCCCUCCGGCACUAUCAGCACACACUCUGGCCUAACUGUCUGCGGUAGGCUGCACACUGCAGAGGAGGGCCGUCAAACCGUUACCAUUACUGAGUUUAGCAAUGGUAAGGGUUAUAUGGCUCUCGCUCAAUGUCAUCUGGACCGGGAGGAUGAAAAACGGUGGUGAUUGAUGUGUUAUUCAUGAGCUUCUGAAUGCUUUUGAUAGCAUGUUUGUGAUGUACUUGUGGAUGCAUGUAAAAUAAAGCUUUUUGCUCCCAAA